rnacentral:rRNA from 1 species
UGGGCUUGACAUGUGUCUGACCGCCGUGGAAACACGGCUUCCCUUCGGGGCAGAUUCAC